AUUGAACGCUGGCGGCAGGCCUAACACAUGCAAGUCGCACGAGUGGCGGACGGGUGAGUAAUGUCUGGGAAACUGCCUGAUGGAGUGGGACAACGACUGGAAACGGUAGCUAAUACCGCAUACCAACGGAUGUGCCCAGAUGGGAUGAGCUAGGAGGUGGGGUAAAGGCGUACCUAGGCGACGAUCCCUAGCUGGUCUGAUAGGAUGACCAGCCACACUGGAACUGAGACACGGUCCAGACUCCGACGGGAGGCAGCAGUGGGGAAUAUUGCACCAUGGGCGCAAUCCUGAUGCAGCCAUGCCGCAUGUAUGAAGAAGGCCUUCGGGUUGUAAAGUACUUUCAGCGGGGAGGCGUUACCCGCAGAAGAAGCACCGGCUAACUCCGUGCCAGCCGCCGCGGUAAUUC
rnacentral:rRNA from 1 species